GCAGGGCUGUGUGACAGGCUUGUGCUGGUUCAUGGAGUAAAGAGAAGAUGCACAUGAGCUACCUUGAUCCUAGUGUGAUUUACUUCUCGGCUUUCAUCUUGGCCAAGUGGUUGAGAUUUUAAAGCUCAUUGUAACAUCUGUGGACUCCAGUGACUAACUAGAUUACUAAGAAGGAUCUGUUAAUGUGGCAAGAACAUUGAAUUUGUACCUGAAGACGUAGCCUCAUACGGGACUGACACACUUUUCCUUCACAAGCAGAGUCUGUUUCUUCUCCUUGAAUCAGGGUCAUGCCUUGUAACUACACUGACCAAUGGAUGACAUAAUAAGGGAUACUCUACAACUUCUGAGAUUAGGCCAUAGGAAUAAUGCAGCUUCCUCCUGGCAUUCUUUGGGAUACUUGUCCUUGAAAUCCUGCCUUUGUGUUUCAAGGAGGCUCACACCACCUGGAAAGACCAUAUACAGCUGUUCCAGCCAAUAGACCCAGCCAGGCACUCAGAAAAUUACCAGUACUGACUGCCAGGCAUAUGACGGAAUAGUGUUCGGUCGAUUCCAGCCUUCAAAUCCUCCCAGCUGAGGCUGUAGACCUCACGGAGUA